rnacentral:lncRNA from 1 species
CAAAAGGAUCAAGAGAACUAGAGCCAGCAAACUCACUAAUCUCACUCCUCUGAACUAUGCAGUUACUCUUACCAACACUAUUUGGAUUAGCAGAAUUGUAGCUUAUCAACAACUCUUUAAGGCUAUUACACAACUCCUCAACCUUCUUGGUAUCAUACAAACUACUAAAACACCAUGUAACAAAGUCCAUUUUACAUUGAUG